rnacentral:rRNA from 1 species
GACGUAGGGCGCGAGCGUUGUCCGGAUUUAUUGGGCGUAAAGAGCUCGUAGGCGGCUUGUCGCGUCGUCCGUGAAAACUUGGGGCUCAACCCCAAGCUUGCGGUCGAUACGGGCAGGCUAGAGUUCGGUAGGGGAGACUGGAAUUCCUGGUGUAGCGGUGAAAUGCGCAGAUAUCAGGAGGAACACCGGUGGCGAAGGCGGGACUCUGGGCCGAUAUUGACGCUGAGGCGCGAAAGCCAGGGGAGCAAACGGG